GAGCAGCAACAUCGAUUCUGACAUUUGCUUGAGUACUCAUAAUGCAGUCGGUAGUCUGAAUUCGAACGGUACCUUAAUGCAGCUGCGGUUGCUAUCACUAUAGUCACACUCGAUUUUGGAUUAGAUAAGGUUAGCGUAUCCUAAACUAUGACCAAUUUAGUAAUCACACUAAAUUGACAAAUGUAAUUAAAAAAGCAAUAAUUCGGUCUGAAGUAUUUUAACCAAUUAACUCGCCACGAUAUCAGACAGUUUUCGUAUAGACAAGUGUUAACACUGAUGAAGACAUCCUUAUGAAAGAAAAGAUGCCACGACUUAUAUGGAAGCAACUCCUUAUUGUAUCAUUUCUAUUUAUCAUCGGUGAUUGCGCGCCACCGUCUCAAAAAUUAACUGAGAUCAAGAAAAAACCGCUUUCCUUCCUUGAUUUACCUUCGGUAAUAGUAGACCCGUACGAGCAACUGAAGUCACGUAGCGCAAAUCAUGUUUUUAGGAUAUUAUUUGACCCUGAAUCACUACAACAAAGUACCGAAAAAUACCGAUUACCACGAAAGUUAAAGAACAAUUUAAA